UUUGGAUGCAAAGUAAAGUGAAAUUAAUAAUAGUAUUGAUACAUUUUACAUGUAAUGUUAUUUUACAUUUUAUAGCAAAGGGUUUUCGAUGCAAAGUAAAUUGAAGUUGAUUAUAUUAUUUAUACAUUUUACAUGUAAUUUUUAUUUUACAUUUUAUAGCUAAGGGUUUUGGAUGCAAAGUAGACGUGAGACUAAUACUAAUUUUUAUUUUUACAUUUUAUAGCGAAGGGUUUUGGAUGCAAAGUAAAGUGAAAUUAAUAAUAGUAUUGAUACAUUUCACAUGUAAUUUUUAUUUUACAUUUUAUAGCAAAGAGUUUUGGAUGCAAAGUAAAGUGAAAUUAAUACUAAUACUAAUUUUUAUUUUUAUUUCAUAUGGUAAGAAAUUUAAGUAGUAUAUAGAUUCACAUGGGUAAUGAUUACAAAAGUUUCUUUUUCGAGAUUGAAAAUUUCAUUUCCCUUUCCUUGAAAAUUUCCUUGCAACCAAACAGAGUCAUAAGGAUUUUAUUCUUCGAGGGAAAAUACAGGCUAGAAUUUCCUUUUGGAGGACAGAAGCUUUACCCCGAAGGAAGCUAUUUAGGGUUGAUUUAUAAGUUUUUGCUAAUGUCCUGUCUAUUGGGGGAAACUGAAGAGCAAAGUUUACAUAUUUUGGGGGCUGAUUCUGGGAAGUAAACUGUCAACAGAAUUUUAUGAGAAUGGGAUGCUAAAAAAAUGUCAUACCCAGUGCAAGAGGCUCCCGCAUGUGCAAGGUCAGGGGUGGGGUGGUGGGGAGAAUUAUGCAGCCUUACCCUGAGAAUAUCAAGAGGCUGUUUCUACCGCUUGACCACCAGGUUGCAACAUUCGUACCUUACCGUUGGACCAAGCGCGCGCCGCUUAGAAUGGGAUGUUAAUUAGUUUAAAUUCACGAAGGCCUGCUAUUGAUUCCGUCAAUAGCAGGAUGAUUUUGAAUAGAUGCCUAAAGAUGAUCCAUAAGGCCUGUUUCUUCCAACCAGAUAUACCAGAUAGCCCAUCGAGGGGGUACUUGAGUUAAACUGUGACUGUAAUCUUUGAAUUGGUCACACCCAGCUUUCUGCAUUUAUGGAAGCUUCUUUUUUAAUUAUUGUCGUUUUCUUCUUUGAAAUAAACUUUUUCUUUGUCUAACUUUAGGCGAAAUCCUGAGGCACUCAAUUUGACUGCCAUUAUGUAUGUCUGAAGAACUGUAAAAGAUUGAUAAAGAAAUCAAUCAACCAAGUGUGCAUUGUGGCCUACUAAAGGGGAGUUUCUACACACUUGAGUUACCCAUAGAACAUCGGAGAGGUCAUGACCAACUUAGGGUUUAGCAAAGUGGUCCAUGACUGACAUGGGUUAUCUGCUGUACAUGUACACACACCUAUUUCUGUCUUCCAUAACCUCGUCAGAAACACUAGAGUUCUGUCUUUGUACCCAUUUUCUUUCAGAUUAGCAUGCCAAACUUCUUUGUUUCAUUGUAAAACUUAGUGUACUUACAAAAGUUCAUGUGCAGGGGAGCAAUUGCACAGCCAAGACUAUUGGUUCCUGUGGCACUGGUCAUGAUCUAUAACCGGUGGAAUGGCCUCCUGGUGCCAGAAUAUGGGUUGAUGCACCUAGAUUUGAUACCAAUGCUUGUGGGCUUUUUUACAUACAAGAUUGCUGCUUUUACUCAAGCUAUUGAGGAAGCCUUGACUGUAGUUGAAAAGAAGACCCAAGUCUGAAGACUACAAUUAUUUUCCAGACUAUGGAUUGCCAGCUUGAAAAACCCAAGUCUCACUACAAUUAUUUUCCAGACCAUGGAUUGCCAGCUUGAAAAACCCAAGUCUCUGACUACACUUAUUUUCCAGACCAUGGAUUGCCAGCUUGAAAAGCUACAGUCAUAGUAAUUCUAGAUGGUCCUUUUCCCCAUAGUUGUAAAAGCUGAAGAGUAAAGGUCUGUCCGGUUCGCCAUUAACUUUGUGAUGUGAAAGUACAUUGUAACUAUUAACAUUUCUGGUGUUGACCACCAAGAUUCUGAUUUGUAAUUGGAAGGAGUUGGAAUUUGCUCGAGGAAACAAAUACAGAUAAUUUUACCCCAUUCUAACAUGAGACUUCUAUUUUUUAUUGGU